GUCACCGAAACCAAGAAGUCCGAGCCGGGCGAGCGCACCGACGAUCCGGUGCGCAUGUAUCUGCGCGAAAUGGGCACCGUCGAGCUGCUGUCGCGCGAGGGCGAAAUCGCCAUCGCCAAGCGCAUCGAGGCCGGCCGCGAGGCGAUGAUCGCGGGCCUCUGCGAAAGCCCGCUGACCUUCCAGGCCAUCAUCAUCUGGCGCGACGAACUCAACGAAGGAAAGAUCUUCCUUCGCGACAUUAUCGAUCUCGAAGCGACCUA
rnacentral:misc_RNA from 1 species